CGGGGAAGUUUGCUAAGACUGGAUAGGAAAUAAAAAGGCAUCUUUUUAUUUUUAAAAGACCUUUUUCGGAAGGUAUGCUUAAAGAGGGGCUUGCGUCACAUUAGUUAGUUGGCAGGGUAAAGGCCUACCAAGACUAUGAUGUGUAGCUGGACUGAGAGGUUGAACAGCCACAUUGGGACUGAGACACGGCCCAAACUCCUACGGGAGGUAGCAGUAGGGAAUUUUCGGCAAUGGAGGAAACUCUGACCGAGCAACGCCGCGUGAACGAUGAAGUAUUUCGGUUUGUAAAGUUCUUUUAUUGACGAAGAAAAAAUAUUGGAAAAACUAUCUUGACGAUAUUCAAUGAAUAAGCCCCGGCAAACUAUGUGCCAGCAGCCGCGGUAAUACAUAGGGGGCGAGCGUUAUCGGGAAUUAUUGGGCGUAAAGGGUGCGUAGGCGGUUUAAUAAGUCUAUAGUUUAAUUUCAGUGCUUAACACUGUCCUGCUAUAGAAACUAUUAGACUAGAGUGAGAUAGAGGCAAGUGGAAUUCCAUGUGUAGCGGUAAAAUGCGUAAAUAUAUGGAGGAACACCAGAGGCGUAGGCGGCUUGCUGGGUCUUUACUGACGCUGAGGCACGAAAGCGUGGGGAGCAAACAGGAUUAGAUACCCUGGUAGUCCACGCCGUAAACGAUGAGUACUAAGUGUCGGGAUUACUCGGUACUGAAGUUAACACAUUAAGUACUCCGCCUGAGUAGUACGUACGCAAGUAUGAAACUUAAAGGAAUUGACGGGACUCCGCACAAGCGGUGGAUCAUGUUGUUUAAUUUGAAGAUACACGAAAAACCUUACCAGGUCUUGACAUACUCUGCAAAGCUAUAGCAAUAUAGUGGAGGUUAUCAGGGAUACAGGUGGUGCAUGGUUGUCGUCAGCUCGUGUCGUGAGAUGUUAGGUUAAGUCCUAAAACGAGCGCAACCCUUGUCAUUAGUUGCCAGCAUGUCAUGAUGGGCACUUUAAUGAGACUGCCAAUGAAAAAUUGGAGGAAGGUGAGGAUCACGUCAAAUCAUCAUGCCCCUUAUGAUCUGGGCUACAAACGUGAUACAAUGGCUGUUACAAAGAGUAGCUGAAACGCAAGUUUAUAGCCAAUCUCAUAAAAGCAGUCUCAGUUUGGAUUGAAGUCUGCAACUUGACUUCAUGAAGUUGGAAUCGCUAGUAAUCGCGAAUCAGCAUGUCGCGGUGAAUACGUUCUCGGGGUUUGUACACACCGCCCGUCAAACCACGAAAGUUGGUAAUACUCAAAAACGGUAGCCUAACUUCUUCGGAAGAGGGAACCGUCUAAGGUAGGAUCGAUGAUUGGGGUUAAGUCGUAACAAGUUCCCCCCCC
rnacentral:rRNA from 1 species